rnacentral:rRNA from 1 species
CACCAGCCCCUCGAGUGAUGGGGAUGAUUAUUUGGCCUAAAGCGUCCGUAGCCGGCCGGGUAAGUUUUCCGUUAAAUCCAGCGUCUCAAGCGUUGGACUGCGGGAAAUACUGCUUGGCUAGAGAGUGGGAGAGGUAAGCGGUAUUCUGGGGGUAGGGGCGAAAUCCUUUGAUCCCCGGAGGACCACCAGUGGCGAAGGCUGCUUACUAGAACACGUCUGACGGUCAGGGACGAAAGCUGGGGUAGCGAACCGGAUUAGAUACCCGGGUAGUCCCGGCCGUAAACGAUGCAUGCUAGGUGUUGGGUUGGCCACGAGCUACCCCGGUGCCGCAGGGAAGCCGUUAAGCAUGCCGCCUGGGAAGUACGAUCGCAAGGUUGAAACUUAAAGGAAUUGGCGGGGGAGCACCACCAGGCGUGAAGCCCGCGGUUU